rnacentral:rRNA from 1 species
UACAGCCAUAUCAAGUUGAAACACCGGUUCCCAUACGAUCACCAAAGUUAAGCAACGUCGAGCCUGGUCAGUAUCUAGAUGGGUAACUGCUUGGUAAUAACGGGUGCUGUA